GAAAAUCUGAUCGUUCUACACGCAUCUUCCGUCCCCGCCGCACAAACCCUUGGCCGCCGUCACCAACGCUGAAACCGUAGACCUUCACGGCCGGUCAAAACCGGCGCCGCCGCCGUCCGAGUGCAAAGACAAUUGUUCAUCGGAUCCGUCGCUGUUCAGCGGAUCCAGUCUUGGCCGCCGUCACCAACGCUGAAACCGUAGACCUCCUUCACGGCCGGUCAAAACCGGCGACGCCGCCGUCCGAUUGGAUCCGUCGCUGUUCAGCGGAUCCAUACGCCGCCGGACACUAUCUGGGCCGGCGAUUGCAAAUUCAGGUGGUGAAUCGUCUCAUUGCCGGUGUCAGAAUAAGAAUCAAGUGCCAACAGUCAUUUAUUUUACGUGCACAUAACUGACAAGAGUUUGUGGCUGGUGACGGCCCUCGGGGACGGUGUCAUCAGCAGCAGCAUCUGGCAAGUGCAUCCAGUUUGCAGGUCACAACUUCAGAGGAUCUCCAGUUUUCAGCCCCGAAACAGCAUCACAUGCAAGAAGAAACACAAACAUAAGGUCCUUAUGGGUAAUUCAGGAAGCAAGGUGGUUGAUCAGCAACCAGAAGAGGACGUUACUACUGGUAUGCUGCAUUUCUACGAGAAAGUACUACACAUAUGUUAUUCACAAGCUUUUAUUAUCGUGUUUUGCAGGCCUUAAAAGCGUGAUAACUGUUGAAGUUAAUUCUCCGGCCUUACAAGCUCUACAAUAGUUGAAGAUAACAAUGCAAGCAUCUUACCCUUAGCUCAAAAUGAUGUAACAUUGUCGUUUUCGGAUGGAGAGCAUAAUGAGACUUUAUUCACAGAUUCUAAUAUAAAGAAUUGGGAUUUUAGUAUAAAUGAAGGUGGCACAAGUUUGCAACGGAUUAAAGACCAUCAUGAUGAUUCGUUGUUGGGUUCCAAAUAUCCAAGUCUUGAUUGGCGCACAAAUGUACUUAGCAAAAGUACUAUUGGUACCAACUCAUACUUAUUCCAAAAGUACUAUGUUCCAUGUUGCUAGAGUCAACACGAGGUCAAAAGUUUUGUAAGAAGGAAACUAUCCAGACAUUGGCAACAUUAUUUGAUAGCUGGCCUGGGAUGGAGACCGACAUCUCAUCUUGCAAUAAGAUUUAUCUUCCCUAUGCAUUUAUUGGCCGAUACAUAUUGUACGUCAUCGACAAAGAGGCACGUCGUCUAUAUAUUAUGGAUCCUAUUCAAUCAUCACAAUCGUCAGAGGAUAAAAACUUGAGGCAUUCACUAAAAUUAAAAAGUUUUUCAAGGGAUUUCAAAGAAGCACUCGAAAUAAAGCUGCCUGGGUGGAAUUUCGAUAUAUCUAAAUGGCAUCGUUUAUUUCCGGCCGGUGUUCCAACGAGUAUAGACGGGAAUGUGUCUGGCUAUUUUGUUUUUCAUUUUAUGCUCUGGUGGAACGGUAAAGAAUUGGUCAAGCCGGUUUGCGCGGAUGGGUAUGAAUUGAGGAAGCAUUUUUUAUUAUACUUGCUAAAUCAUCGUGGAAAUGAAGCUAGAGGAAACUUUCCUGAUAUUGUGAAAGAAUUUCUUAAGCGCAUCAUCUAGAUAUUAAUAUUCUUGUAAUAGAUGUUAAGUUGUAACAUCACUUAGUUUGUUACAUUGCAAUAAUGGACUUCAGUUUGUGUUA